AUUGCUUUGCAGCUUGGAGCUUUUUCAGUGGCAACAAGCUUCUCAUCAAUGGCAGCCAAGGCUAAAUGAACUUGUGAAGCGCUUGGAGGAAUCCCUAUUUAGGAAUGCUACUUCAAAGGAGUACAUGAACAUGGAAACACUGGAGCACCGGUUGCAAACUUCAUUGAGAUCUGAAAGUUAGUCUCAUCAAACCAGCAACCUGCUGAGGACAGUGAUGGCGACUAUUACAAGGAUUCAAGUAGUGAUGGAAGCAGUGAUUCUGAGCUUGAAGGAGGGUUCAAAUAUACAAGAGAGCAGUCGAACCAUCAUCAUCCUGCAAGUGAGGUUGCGUGUAGAAUGGACACACUAUCUUUGCGAGAGAAGCAUGUUGCUAUCCAAGAAGGCUUUUCGAUCUGGUGCAGCUUGUGAAACGAUGUCUAGAUUUUGUUCAACAACAAGGCUUGAAGAAUGUCACAGGCAGUCCAUGCAACAAAGACUUUUGGUCUAUGAUGGGAUUCUUGAAGUAAUCAUUGAUUUGCUUUGACUGAGGUGACCUUCUAGAAAAUCUCUCUGAGCUUUGACUGAGGUGACCUUUUCUAACUCCACUAAAAAUCCACCAACAUCUGUAACAUGUACUUCUCGUUAGUGUAUACAUGUUCAUUUCUUUGAUACACAUAGUCCAAUCUACUUGAGGUGGCCCACUAGGUCAAUAAUACCAAUCACAAUAUGUGUUUUCCAUGUGAACUGAAGGGAGUGAGCUGCAGAGAAGAGUUUCAUACUAACGUUCCUCUUAAACUAAAGAUCAAUUCAUUAUGGAGCAGAGAAUUUUGCGAUGAGAGUAGGCCUAUGAAUCUAUUCAGGCAGACAGGUGUGUGUUAUAUUAGAGCCGCUCAUCAAGACAUCUCACAAUUUAAAUGGCAUGUCUUAGAAAUCAGUUCGUAUGUAUACAAGAUAAAUGCAUUGUUAAUAGGAUCAAUGGCCCACAUUAAACACACACACAUGUAGCCUACCUAAUGGUCAGCUUGGCCCGAUCCUUGGUAGACAAGAAUAUUCCUAGUGGGGAUGGCCUGACAUCUUCACACUGGAGCUAGAAUGUCUCGUGUCACAUCUUAUUUCCAUGGAAUUUUUUGUGGUAACUCAAGGAAAUUUUGGGAACCAAACCUGGCAUCCCGCUAAUAAUUGUACUCCAAGGUGAACACCAUUUUCUAGCAAUUACAUUCCUACUUUUUCAACAUGGAAUUUAAUUCUGUAUUCGCCAAAGCUGUUUGUAGGCAUUCUCAUUUUGUGUAAAGUCAUCUUGGGGAACAUGCUGUAAAUGUAGGCAGUGUCGUCAUUGGUUGUGCAUAGUUAUGUCUUUCAAUGCCAUUUUUUUUUUUCUGGGCUAACAAAACAUCAGU